rnacentral:rRNA from 1 species
GAUGGAUUGGUGCCUUCGGGAACUGUGAGACAGGUGCUGCAUGGCUGUCGUCAGCUCGUGUUGUGAAAUGUUGGGUUAAGUCCCGCAACGAGCGCAACCCUUAUCCUUUGUUGCCAGCGGUCCGGCCGGGAACUCAAAGGAGACUGCCAGUGAUAAACUGGAGGAAGGUGGGGAUGACGUCAAGUCAUCAUGGCCCUUACGACCAGGGCUACACACGUGCUACAAUGGCAUAUACAAAGAGAAGCGACCUCGCGAGAGCAAGCGGACCUCAUAAAGUAUGUCGUAGUCCGGAUUGGAGUCUGCAACUCGACUCCAUGAAGUCGGAAUCGCUAGUAAUCGUAGAUCAGAAUGCUACGGUGAAUACGUUCCCGGGCCUUGUACACACCGCCCGUCACACCAUGGGAGUGGGUUGCAAAAGAAGUAGGUAGCUUAACCUUCGGGAGGGCGCUUACCACUUUGUGAUUCAUGACUGGGGUGAAGUCGUAACAAGGUAACCGUAGGGGAACCUGCGGUUGGAUCACCUCCUUA